rnacentral:rRNA from 1 species
GCGCACGGGUGCGUAACGCGUGGGAACCUGCCUUUAGGUUCGGAAUAACAGUUAGAAAUGACUGCUAAUACCGGAUAAUGUCUUCGGACCAAAGAUUUAUCGCCUUUAGAUGGGCCCGCGUUAGAUUAGAUAGUUGGUGGGGUAAUGGCCUACCAAGUCGACGAUCUAUAGCUGGUCUGAGAGGAUGAUCAGCCACACUGGGACUGAGACACGGCCCAGACUCCUACGGGAGGCAGCAGUGGGGAAUAUUGGACAAUGGGCGAAAGCCUGAUCCAGCAAUGCCGCGUGAGUGAUGAAGGCCUUAGGGUUGUAAAGCUCUUUUACCAGGGAUGAUAAUGACAGUACCUGGAGAAUAAGCUCCGGCUAACUCCGUGCCAGCAGCCGCGGUAAUACGGAGGGAGCUAGCGUUGUUCGGAAUUACUGGGCGUAAAGCGCACGUAGGCGGCUUUUCAAGUCAGGGGUGAAAUCCCGGGGCUCAACCCCGGAACUGCCCUUGAAACUGGAUGGCUAGAAUACUGGAGAGGUGAGUGGAAUUCCGAGUGUAGAGGUGAAAUUCGUAGAUAUUCGGAAGAACACCAGUGGCGAAGGCGACUCACUGGACAGUUAUUG